CCAAACUUCCUCCUUAAAGGCCUAUCUACCCUCAUGCAAAUUAACUCAUACAAACAGAUACCCAGGCCGCCCACUACUAACCGGUCUGGAAGAAAGCUACCAUAAGUUUGAGCAGUUGGCCACAUGGCUCUCAUUUGGGCUCUCAGUUGGACCAGCAACUUCAGGAGUUUUGAACAGCAAUUUUUGAACUCCCCUUCCUGUUGUUCUGGUACCUGGGGGAAACCAGGGCUAGCAGGACUGCGCUUCCUCCAUCUAGAAGCUUUCCUCAGGACUGCUGAGUCACCCACCUGCUGCGGGGAAUGCGCCUAUUUUUAGCCUGAGAUGAUAUGACCUCUUAUUGUACCCAUGUGCACCAUUCCUAUGGCCCCGUCCUUGGAGACACCACUGCUUGGGAGUUAAGAUGGUGGAGAUCUGGAGCCCACCAGCCUGACUGAAGGGGGCUUCACUACUUACUAACUGUUUGACUCAAGCAAGACCCUUUACCACUCUGAGACCCGACCUUGGAGCUCCUGGGCUGGUGCUCAGGUCACAAAGGCUGGUGAUGGAUUCGCAGGUGUGAGAUGUCAUCCCUUGCUCUAUUGAGGCAGCUCCUGAAAGGCUUCACUCUUCUGCCCUGGUGCAGAAACAGGCCCUGCCUCUUUCAGAUUGGCCUGGAGCUGUCAGCUACCAGUGACUUCCAGAACCAACUUGCAAAUGUCUGCCAAUCAGUGGCACUGCUCAGACCAGAGCUCAGAUAAGAUGUUCUGCAGUCUGCUGAGAAAAUCUUCCAACACAGUUGUGGGACACAGAAGUCACUCAGCAGAAACACUGGUCACAUCACUUCUCCUUAUCUCUCUUCCUGGUGACGGAGCCCAAUGCUUGUGAGAUCCUUUUAAACAGCUCUUUUUCCAAAUAGGAUUUGACCUGGCACAGGGCCCCAGUGUAUGCGAACAAUAAAAGCUUCA